rnacentral:rRNA from 1 species
GACGAACGCUGGCGGCGUGCCUAAUACAUGCAAGUCGAGCGAAGUUUUUCUGGUGCUUGCACUAGAAAAACUUAGCGGCGAACGGGUGAGUAACACGUAAAGAACCUGCCUCAUAGACGGGGACAACUAUUGGAAACGAUAGCUAAUACCGGAUAACAGCAUAAAUCGCAUGAUAUAUGUUUAAAAGUUGGUUUCGGCUAACACUAUGAGAUGGCUUUGCGGUGCAUUAGCUAGUUGGUGGGGUAAAGGCCUACCAAGGCGACGAUGCAUAGCCGACCUGAGAGGGUGAUCGGCCACACUGGGACUGAGACACGGCCCAGACUCCUACGGGAGGCAGCAGUAGGGAAUCUUCCGCAAUGGGCGAAAGCCUGACGGAGCAACGCCGCGUGAGUGAAGAAGGAUUUCGGUUCGUAAAGCUCUGUUGUUAGGGAAGAAUGAUUGUAUAGUAACUAUAUACAGUAGAGACGGUACCUAACCAGGAAGCCACGGCUAACUACGUGCCAGCAGCCGCGGUAAUACGUAGGUGGCAAGCGUUGUCCGGAAUUAUUGGGCGUAAAGCGCGCGCAGGUGGUUUAAUAAGUCUGAUGUGAAAGCCCACGGCUCAACCGUGGAGGGUCAUUGGAAACUGUUAAACUUGAGUGCAGGAGAGAAAAGUGGAAUUCCUAGUGUAGCGGUGAAAUGCGUAGAGAUUAGGAGGAACACCAGUGGCGAAGGCGGCUUUUUGGCCUGUAACUGACACUGAGGCGCGAAAGCGUGGGGAGCAAACAGG